AAGAAAGUGCCGCAAGAACUGCUAAUUCAUGCCACCAUGACUAAAACCCAUGGCUUUCUUA
rnacentral:tRNA from 1 species